GACGAACGCUGGCGGCGUGCUUAACACAUGCAAGUCGAACGGUAAGGCCCUUCGGGGUACACGAGUGGCGAACGGGUGAGUAACACGUGGGUGACCUGCUCUGCACUUCGGGAUAAGCCUGGGAAACUGGGUCUAAUACCGGAUAGGACCACUGCCUGCAUGGGUGGUGGUGGAAAGCUUUUGCGGUGUGGGAUGGGCCCGCGGCCUAUCAGCUUGUUGGUGGGGUGACGGCUUACUAAGGAGACGACGGUUAGCCGGCCUGGGAGGGUGACCGGCCACACUGGGACUGAGCUAAGGCCCAGACUCCUACGGGAGGCAGCAGUGGGGAAUAUGGCACAAUGGGCGCAAGCCUGAUGCAGCGACGCCGCGUGAGGGAUGACGGCCUUCGGGUUGUAAACCGCGUUCAGCACCGACGAAGCGCAAGUGACGGUAGGUGCAGAAGAAGGACCGGCCAACUACGUGCCAGCCGCCGCGGUAA
rnacentral:rRNA from 1 species